GCCUACGGGAGGCUGCAGUGGGGAAUAUUGGACAAUGGGCGCAAGCCUGAUCCAGCCAUGCCGCGUGAGUGAUGAAGGCCCUAGGGUUGUAAAGCUCUUUCACCGGUGAAGAUAAUGACGGUAACCGGAGAAGAAGCCCCGGCUAACUUCGUGCCAGCAGCCGCGGUAAUACGAAGGGCGCUAGCGUUGUUCGGAAUUACUGGGCGUAAAGCGCACGUAGGCGGAUAUUUAAGUCAGGGGUGAAAUCCCGGGGAUCAACCCCGGAACUGCCUUUGAUACUGGGUAUCUCGAGGCCGAGAGAGGUGAGUGGAAUUCCGAGUGUAGAGGUGAAAUUCGUAGAUAUUCGGAGGAACACCAGUGGCGAAGGCGGCUCACUGGCUCGGUACUGACGCUGAGGUGCGAAAGCGUGGGGAGCAAACAGGAUUAGAUACCCGGGUAGUC
rnacentral:rRNA from 2 species